CGCCAAGUCAGCCUCUUUGAUCUUUGCCUUCUCAGAGGAGAAAAGUGGGAUCCCGGGGAGGUUUUUAAUUUGCAUUGAUUUUCUAAUGAAUGCGGUUCAGCAUUCUUCCAAGGAGGCUCUGCGGUUUUUAGAGCUGGCUGCAGGAUCCUCCCUGGGGAGACGUGGUCUUUGCUGGGGCAGAGCCAGGCGCGGUGGUGGAGGUGGGUUUGAGUCUCGGGGAGCGCGCGGGAGCUGGGCACGGCCCCGUGCUUGAGAGGAUCUGGCAUUUUCCUGGGCAGCCUCGGCGAGAGAGAGUCGUGGAAGGCAAUACGGGAGGGGAGGCGGCACCCCCAUCGUGGCCUGGUUUGAGAUGUUCCCAGCCGUAGGAGACAGACUGUCAUCAAGUGUCGGAAAAUAGCUGUCAUGGGAAUCCUCACCUCCUGACACCUUCCCAGCCCCGUGCUCCCGAAACCCUCCCCGCGUGGCUGCAGAGUUGUAGGUUCUGCUCCUGGUGACGGGCAACCCCGUAAUCUCCAAUGCUCACGGCAGCUCUGCUGGGGCACAGCAGCUCCUGGGGGCCAAGGUCCCAGCCAGGACGUGGAUGUCAGGGCCGAGACUGGAAUGUAGAACCGUGGGAGUCCAGAGCCCAGGUCCUUCCCCACGAACCACCAGAUGUGGUGUGGGUUUCCUGGUUUCCGUUCUUGUUCAAGUGGAAUAAAAGGAAAAGGUGGGGGAGUGACAGCCACACCUAAUGUCCCCCCACCAUGGUGGGGGAUUUUUGUCUGUUCCCUUUGCUGCCGUGUCCCCCGUGCCUGGGAUGCGCCCAGUGCUGAACGAUGCCCCUUUGCACAUAUACAGUCUCACGCUGAUUGAUCUGGGUUUACUAAGUGUCAGUGAUUCACUCCCUUGAAAAUGGGAGCCCCAUUUUCAAUGUGUGACUCCCAUUGUGAUCGUAGGUUCUGGGGACCCACAGAGGACAGGCCCAGACCCUGAUCUCAAAAACGCCUCAGAGGCCAGGUGCGGUGGCUUACGCCUGUAAUCCCAGCACUUUGGGAGGCCGAGGUGGGUGGAUCACUUGAGGUCAGGAGUUCAAGACCAGCCUGGCCAACAUGGUGAAACCCCAUCUCUACUUGUGUGCAAACAGAGCUUGCUGGUCCUCGCACAUGGGACAGAAUGAGGGACAGGAGCAGGCCACCGGCUUUUCUGGUUUCUGAAGGAGUCUGUUGUGAAAUAUGCAAGUGCCUUCCGACCAUGCGCACCAGGCCCUCUGCCCUGGGGAACAAUGUGCUUCACGUUCCUUCAUUUUCAAGCUCCUGAAUGUUUCCAAACUAAAAUGUAAAUUUGGCCCCAUGUUUUGAGUCUUUGAUGUAUCCACGGAGCUCCCUCUGAAAUGCACUCAGCUCCAAGAGGAGGAAAAUCGACCUCUGUCUUCUGGGAACGCAUUACAGCGAGGGCUCUUGACCCUGGCUGCACAGCAGAAUCUCUAGGGAGAGCUUUUAAAAUAAAAUCGAUGCCCGGGCCCCAUCCCCAGACCUUGUGGUUUAAGUGGUCCAGGGUGGAGCUCGGCUCUGGGAAUUUCAAGACCUCCCCAGGGAUUUCUGCGGGCAGCUGGGCUGAGACCCAUCUCUCUGUGGUUGUGAAAAUACAACCUCG
rnacentral:lncRNA from 10 species